rnacentral:rRNA from 1 species
GACGAACGCUGGCGGCGUGCUUAACACAUGCAAGUCGAACGAAGUGGCGAACGGGUGAGUAACGCGCAAUCAACCUGCCCUUCAGAGGGGGACAACAGUUGGAAACGACUGCUAAUACCGCAUACUGAAGGAGGGGAUUGCGUCUGAUUAGCUAGUUGGAGGGGUAACGGCCCAACAAGGCGAUGAUCAGUAGCCGGUCUGAGAGGAUGAACGGCCACAUUGGGACUGAGAAACGGCCCAGACUCCUACGGGGGGCAGCAGUGGGGGAUCUGCCGCAAUGGGCGAAAGUCUGACGGAGCAACGCCGCGUGAGUGAUGACGGCCUUCGGGUUGUAAAGCUCUGUUAAUCAGGACGCGGUACCGGAAUAGAAAGCCACGGCUAACUACGUGCCAGCAGCCGCGGUAAUUC